rnacentral:rRNA from 1 species
UACGAAGGGUGCAAACGUUGCUCGGAAUUAUUGGGCGUAAAGCGCACGUAGGCGGCUUUGCAAGUCCCAUGUGAAAUCCCACGGCUCAAUCGUGGAAGUGCAUGGGAAACUGCAGAGCUUGAGUACUUAAGAGGAUCGCGGAAUUCCCGGUGUAGAGGUGAAAUUCGUAGAUAUCGGGAGGAACACCAGUGGCGAAGGCGGCGAUCUGGGAAGAUACUGACGCUGAGGUGCGAAAGCGUGGGGAGCAAACAGG